rnacentral:rRNA from 1 species
UGCAAGUCGAACGAUGAUCCCGGUGCUUGCACCGGGUGAUUAGUGGCGAACGGGUGAGUAACACGUGAGUAACCUGCCCCCGACUCUGGGAUAAGCCCGGGAAACUGGGUCUAAUACCGGAUAUUCACUUCCUUCCGCAUGGGAGGUGGUGGAAAGAUUUAUCGGUGGGGGAUGGACUCGCGGCCUAUCAGCUUGUUGGUGGGGUAAUGGCCCACCAAGGCGACGACGGGUAGCCGGCCUGAGAGGGUGACCGGCCACACUGGGACUGAGACACGGCCCAGACUCCUACGGGAGGCAGCAGUGGGGAAUAUUGCACAAUGGGCGAAAGCCUGAUGCAGCGACGCCGCGUGAGGGAUGACGGCCUUCGGGUUGUAAACCUCUUUCAGUAGGGAAGAAGCGAAAGUGACGGUACCUGCAGAAGAAGCGCCGGCUAACUACGUGCCAGCAGCCGCGGUAAUACGUAGGGCGCAAGCGUUAUCCGGAAUUAUUGGGCGUAAAGAGCUCGUAGGCGGUUUGUCGCGUCUGCCGUGAAAGUCCGGGGCUCAACCCCGGAUCUGCGGUGGGUACGGGCAGACUAGAGUGAUGUAGGGGAGACUGGAAUUCCUGGUGUAGCGGUGAAAUGCGCAGAUAUCAGGAGGAACACCGAUGGCGAAGGCAGGUCUCUGGGCAUUAACUGACGCUGAGGAGCGAAAGCAUGGG